rnacentral:tRNA from 1 species
GGGAGUGUAGUUCAGUGGUAUAGCACUUGCCUAGCAUGCAUGAGGCCCUGGGUUUUGUCCCCAGCCAUACCA